AUGAAGCCAGAGUUGAUCCACUUAUUUGUGUUGCUCCUCAUCUUGUCCAUGCCUCUCCGUACAUUUUCCGCUUUCAUGUUCCCUCUAAAGAUCAGAAAACAAUUGUGCGAAAGUGGAUAUCUUGGAGUAAGACCAGAAAUCUGCAACUAUCCCCCAAAGUUCGGCAC